rnacentral:rRNA from 1 species
UUGCCUUUCAUAAGCGGAGGAAAAGAAACCAACCGGGAUUGCCUUAGUAACGGCGAGUGAAGCGGCAAAAGCUCAAAUUUGAAAUCUGGUACCUUCGGUGCCCGAGUUGUAAUUUGGAGAGGGCAACUUUGGGGCCGUUCCUUGUCUAUGUUCCUUGGAACAGGACGUCAUAGAGGGUGAGAAUCCCGUGUGGCGAGGAGUGCGGUUCUUUGUAAAGUGCCUUCGAAGAGUCGAGUUGUUUGGGAAUGCAGCUCUAAGUGGGUGGUAAAUUCCAUCUAAAGCUAAAUAUUGGCGAGAGACCGAUAGCGAACAAGUACAGUGAUGGAAAGAUGAAAAGAACUUUGAAAAGAGAGUGAAAAAGUACGUGAAAUUGUUGAAAGGGAAGGGCAUUUGAUCAGACAUGGUGUUUUGUGCCCUCUGCUCCUUGUGGGUAGGGGAAUCUCGCAUUUCACUGGGCCAGCAUCAGUUUUGGUGGCAGGAUAAAUCCAUAGGAAUGUAGCUUGCCUCGGUAAGUAUUAUAGCCUGUGGGAAUACUGCCAGCUGGGACUGAGGACUGCGACGUAAGUCAAGGAUGCUGGCAUAAUGGUUAUAUGCCGCCCGUCUUGAACCGGGACCAA